AUCGACCCUGGCACUGGGAAUUUU
rnacentral:miRNA from 1 species